UACGUAGGGCGCAAGCGUUGUCCGGAAUUAUUGGGCGUAAAGAGCUCGUAGGUGGUUUGUCGCGUCUGCCGUGAAAGCCCGGGGCUUAACUCCGGGUCUGCGGUGGAUACGGGCAGACUAGAGGCAGGUAGGGGAGAACGGAAUUCCCGGUGUAGCGGUGAAAUGCGCAGAUAUCGGGAAGAACACCCGUGGCGAAGGCGGUUCUCUGGGACGGUACUGACGCUGAGACGCGAAAGCGUGGGGAGCGAACAGG
rnacentral:rRNA from 1 species